UAUCAAUUCUGAAAUUUCCUUAACCACUACAGACCCUCAACAGACAAGAAUGUGUUGCGACAUCUGUGAAUGCGUGUGCAGUUUCAUGGCUAAAUUGUGUUGUGAAUUCCUUUGUGAGGAUUGCUGUGACUGUUGCGAAGAUUCUUACGAUGACAAAGAAGAAAAGAGGAAGAGAAAACAAGAACAACAAGAUAAAGUCGUGUCUUCACAACCUACAAAUAAUGAGCCUUCCAGAAGACCAUUAGUAUGACAUCAUUACAUUGAACUCUUUAUCAGUACUUUGUAGUUUGAAUUGAUGUGAAUAGUAAUAAAAUCUAUUUAUUUUAUAAA